UAAUACAUAGGGUGCAAGCGUUGUCCGGAAUUAUUGGGCGUAAAGAGCUCGUAGGUCGUUUGCCACGUCGAUUGUGAAAAUCUGAGGCUCAACCUCAGACCUGCAGUCGAUACGGGCAAACUAGAGUGUGGUAGGGGAGACUGGAAUUCCUGGUGUAGCGGUGGAAUGCGCAGAUAUCAGGAGGAACACCAAUGGCGAAGGCAGGUCUCUGGGCCAUAACUGACACUGAGGAGCGAAAGCGCGGGGAGCGAACAGG
rnacentral:rRNA from 1 species